rnacentral:rRNA from 1 species
GUCCUAAAAAUAAGCUAAAACCAACUAAAGNAUACAACAAAACCCGUCCGCAGAUAACGGACUUA